CCUGCUCAAUGAAACAAUUAAAUAGCCGCUUAAAUAAGUGCUAAGGUAGCAUAAUCACUUGUCUUUUAAUUUAAGAAUAGAAUGAAAGGAUAAACGAGUUUAAAUCUUUAUUUAGAUUAAUUUAUAAAAUUUAUACAGAAGUAAAAAAGCUUCUACCUAAGAUAAGACGACAAGACCCUUUAGAACUUUACUAAAAGUUAAGCUGGGGUGGCAUCUUAUAAAAACUAACACUUAAAAAAUAAAAAACUUAAAAUUAAAUAAAAAAAGUUACCUAAGGGAUAACAGCAUAAUUUAUCUUAUAAGAUCUUAUAAAAAGAUAAGAUUAUGACCUCGAUGUUGAAUUACUAUACUUAAAAUAGAAAAAUAUUAUAAAGUAAGUCUGUUCGACUUUUAAACAAGUACAU
rnacentral:rRNA from 1 species